AUUCUUUUGUGGUUCAUAAGCAUGAUAAUUGGGUUUUCACAUAAUCAUGAGAUGGGCCUCCCUCAAACCUUGUUAUGAUAUCAGCACAUUACCUGUGACA
ensembl:snoRNA